UCUACGGGUGGCAGCAGUGGGGAAUUUUGGACAAUGGGCGCAAGCCUGAUCCAGCUAUUCCGCGUGUGGGAUGAAGGCCCUCGGGUUGUAAACCACUUUUGUAGAGAACGAAAAGCCACCUUUUAAUACAGGGUGUUGCUGACGGUACUCUAAAAAUAAGCACCGGCUAACUACGUGCCAGCAGCCGCGGUAAUACGUAGGGUGCGAUCGGUAAUCGGAAUUACUGGGCGUAAAGGGUGCGCAGGCGAUUGAGUAAGACCGAUGUUAAAUCCCCGGGCUUAACUCGGGAAUGGCAUAUGUGACUGCUAGACUAGAGUGUGUCAGAGGGAGGGGGAAUUCAACGUGUAGCAGUGAAAUGCGUAGAUAUGUGGAAGAACACCGAUGGCGAAGGCAGCCUACUGGGACAUAACUGACGCUCAGGCACGAAAGCGUGGGGAGCAAACAGGAUUAGAUACCCCAGUAGUC
rnacentral:rRNA from 1 species